UCGAAUGCUAUGGCCUUGUGCCACCGCCGUCGCUUACGAUACCCUCGAUGAGGUUGGGUCUCUGCAGCUGAGGGAUUCUGUGGAAACUCUCGGAAUCCUAUGGCACAUGCAUGUCCAGCUCAAUUUCUAGUUGAUUUCUCAAUGACCCAGGGAAUGUCCCAAGUCAUCUAUAUAUGUGUGUGUGUCGGCACUCAGUGAAAAAUGAAGAACGUAAUUCUGCAUCAUUUCUAGUAAUACAAAGUUCUCCUCCCACUGGUUACGGUCCAAGAAGUCUCAACAGCCAAGUGGUUCGAACACCCAGGUGCGAGCUAGUGAAGGUUGUGACAGGGACAGUAAUAGCCUCAAGAUACGUCGAGUCGAGGUAUUUUUACUAUGUUCUGUAUUUACGAGGUAUCAACGACCCCGACAAUGCUAAUGAAACGAAUCUUUAAGGUCUGGAUUAUGAUUUAGUUAUAUGUAUUGAACUUGGUUAUAGAGUUGCAGGCACAUUUGCUUUCUAUUCUAUUAUCCAUCAAAAUUGCCUUUGAAUGUUGUAAGGGAAGGAAGAUCUUGAGUAGGAGUGGAAAAUUGGGUGGCCGACCGGCUCUGAUAAAA